UACGGAGGGUGCGAGCGUUAAUCGGAAUCACUGGGCGUAAAGCGCGCGUAGGCGGCUUUUCAAGUCAGGGGUGUAAUCCCACGGCCCAACCGUGGAACUGCCUUUGAAACUGUAGAGCUUGAGUGUCGGAGAGGGUGGCGGAAUUCCAGGUGUAGGAGUGAAAUCCGUAGAUAUCUGAGGAACACCGGUGGCGAAGGCGGCCACCUGGACGACAACUGACGCUGAGGUGCGAAAGCGUGGGUAGCAAACAGG
rnacentral:rRNA from 1 species